ensembl:lncRNA
CUUGUCAGUAAAGGAUGUUUCAACUGUACCUUCUGACUGUUGUUUAAACAACUAAACAGAAAGGUUUUUUGCUCAACUGUUGAUAAAACUUGAUUAUGAUAUAUUUCAUUGUCAGCAGGUUUUUCUACAGGAAUUCAGAGUAACAUGGUCCAAGCCCAUGAGAAACCACAGCUUGAAGCUGCAGUGCAGAAACAUCUCUGAGCUCACAGCAGCAGCAACACCCAGGCUCUCGAGUUGCCCGACUACAGAGGAGCAGGAGUUGUCCCACGCUAAAGCCCUGUGAGCACCAGGACUUCAUGCUGUGGAAAGUCUGCUAACGCAGAGCCAGUCCCUGAAGGCAUGAUCUUGCACCAUUAUCUCUGGUUGGAAGCUGCCUCUAACUUCUGUAACACUGUCUGUGGGUCUGUAUGAAGGAAAGGCUCAUUGCUCUAGUUACUGGCCUCGUGUUUCCAAGAAUCCAGAAGCUGCAGAAGCCAUGUCCAGUUUAGAUCUCUCCUACUCUUCCCACCAGAGACAGUUUGAACGGCAAGAUGCUCUAAAAUUGGAAUGGAUACCACUGGAGAUGUCUUCCAGCACAACACUGAAGAUAGAUGUUUCUCCUGAACUGGUUUUGGCAACACUCCAGGAGUACAUUUAGCACACACGUCCCGUGAUGCAGUGUACAGAGAGAUCUUCAAAAAAGCCUUAGAGCAGGAGUCAUCACAGCAUGAUAUUUCUAAGAGAGGUUGUAAUACAUUUCUCUGGCCAGAGUGGAAGUCUUCGGUAUGCAGGCUGCCUAGAUUAGAAACCUGUCCUUGAAUACAAUAUUAUUAGUGCUUCGUUUCUCAAAUCCCUGAUAUUAGCACCUUUCCUGUAAAGCUUAUUAUCAAAAAGUUGUUGCAAGAAUGUAAAACUGAAGUUGGAGUUCAAAGGUUUGCUUAAUGUGUUCUUAAAAAAAACAUAAAAUACAUGUAGGCUAGUGCACACACACACAUAGACAAAUUCUAGUGAGAAGGGUUUAUUUAGCAUAGUUAUUUCUAUAGCUGAGCUAGAAUAUGAUGCCUGAAGAAAUCAUCAGUUCCAUUAUUCUAAGAUUUUUUUUUCCACAGAAGGCUCAUUUAUUAUAAGCCCUAAUAUAAAAUAAUGAAUAUUUGUUUUAAGUCAAGUCAAUACCAGCACUAGUCUCCCGGGGAUAUGUGCAAUUUUGUGAUAACUACAAAAGAAUUUAUUCUGGAGUAAACUAUACUGAAUCUAGUGUUGGCAUCUAAAGUGCGCUUAUUGGUAAUUUAGCUUCUCUUCAGCAGAGCACUAGGGUACUUCUUUUUUUUUUUUUAAGCAUGCAGGUAGUCACAAAGAUCGAUUUCAAUGGAACUACUCAUAAAAUCAAUGUGAUAAUUAUUUCUGCUUACUUUAAAGAUCUAACACUUCUAAUCUGAGAGGAAUAGGCUUUCCUAAAAAUUGUACUUUAAGAUCACAAUAAUAACAUUUAGUUCUAUCCAUGGAUCUCAAAGCAAUACAGAAAGAUUAGUACUAAUGGGAUCAAUAUAAGGAAAAUGUAUCUGCUUAUGACAAUUAAUUUUUGAAAACAAAUUAUGAAAAUAAACAUUUAUCUCUUGAUCA